rnacentral:rRNA from 1 species
AUUGAACGCUGGCGGCAGGCUUAACACAUGCAAGUCGAGCCGAGAUGAGGUGCUUGCACCUUAUCUUAGCGGCGGACGGGUGAGUAAUGCUUAGGGAUCUGCCUAUUAGUGGGGGACAACAUUCCGAAAGGAAUGCUAAUACCGCAUACGUCCUACGGGAGAAAGCAGGGGAUCUUCGGACCUUGCGCUAAUAGAUGAGCCUAAGUCGGAUUAGCUAGUUGGUGGGAUAAAGGCCUACCAAGGCGACGAUCUGUAGCGGGUCUGAGAGGAUGAUCCGCCACACUGGGACUGAGACACGGCCCAGACUCCUACGGGAGGCAGCAGUGGGGAAUAUUGGACAAUGGGCGGAAGCCUGAUCCAGCCAUGCCGCGUGUGUGAAGAAGGCCUUUUGGUUGUAAAGCACUUUAAGCGAGGAGGAGGCUACCUAGAUUAAUACUCUGGGAUAGUGGACGUUACUCGCAGAAUAAGCACCGGCUAACUCUGUGCCAGCAGCCGCCGUAAGAC